rnacentral:lncRNA from 1 species
AAAAAAAAAAAUAGUAUUAAAAAACUAAAUUAUUUGUUUAAAGAUGGUUAGUCUACAACCUUCAAAAUGCAACAAUAGAAAUGGAGUAAUCCACUCACUUCUAAAACAAGAUUAAAACAAUGAAUUAGCACUCUUGUCAAACUAUCAAGCACAUAAUUAAAUACAAGAGACUUAAAAUAUUCUUGUGUAACUCAAUAAGAAUAAAUAUUUACUCCUAAAUUAAAUAGUAUUAAGACUAUAAUGACUAUUGCCAAAUACUAAAAUAUAGACUCUUGAAACCAGACUAAGAACAAAUAAGGUGUUAACAAGAAUAAAGAAGAUUUUACUCUUGCCUCUCUUUAUAUUAUCUAACUAAGAGCUAUAUGGUAAUAUUCUUUAGGACCUUCAAUAGAUGUUCAAAUUACAAAAUAUAUGUUUUAACUUGUAAGGCAAGUUUUUUAUAUGAGCACCAUAUAAUUAGCUUAUUCUACAAGCUACCAACACAUAUAAUACGUGACUAACUUGUUAACCAAAUUUUUAAUCUAGAUUAAUCUUUGGUGAUGUUGAUCAGCCACUCUUGCACGGAUUUAGGCAGUUGCUUGCCUCCCACGAAGUAUGCGAUUACCACUCUCUUCUGGUGGUAAUCCAUCUCUUGUUUGACCUUCAAUUCAUUAAGUGUUACGCAUACCACUCGCUUCUACAUCAAAAACCCCUUGCUACUCCGAAAUAACCCUUCAGGAAUAAUCUCACUUGGCUCUGCUCGCGUCGAGUGGAUGGCUGCGUGUCGCCCCAUCUGUGUAGCCGCGGCGACCAAUUCUGGCUCCAUCCUCUCCUCUCUCCACGGGCGUUCCGCUUGCCGUCUUGCUUCCAACGUAGUGGAUGAGACUGGUGUGUGUGCCAGUCUACUUUUCACUGCGGCGGCAUAGGACGAGGAAGCCGCCAUGUCUCCCUUUCCAUAUCACCGCCGCGCCUUCGAGCGCCUGAAUAAAUGCUGCUGCUUAGUUCUGGAACAGUUGCCCUUCUCAAAAUGUCACCAUAAACCCUAAACCCUGUAGAAGUCCCACCUUAUGUUGGUAACUUACAAGUGCAGUAUGCGGUGAGAAGGUUACCUAAUCCUUAUAAAAGUGUAACGAAAUCUAAAGAUUGGACCUAACAAACUAUCCCUGACUCGAUGUGUGUUAUUUGCACUUGCUCGCAGUGAACCUCGCGCCUGCGCGGAGGAGCUAGCCGGAGCGUCAUCGAGCCUCUCACUUCGUCCGAAUAGUUUGCUUAAACCCGUGCCUGCUUCCGCGUUUCAGCACUUUCUUCCUGUCAAAAGCUCACAACAUAAAUAACUGCAAAAGCUCACAACAUAAAUAACUGCAAAAGCUCUCUCUCUCUCUCUCUCUCUCUCUCAUCCCAAUGCUGCUAAUCGACACAAGUCUACCCCGCAUCAAUCUUCUUAUCCUAUAAUUAGCCACGAUCUGUAAAACACACUUGAGAAAAAGUACCCUUCUGGCAGCACCCUCCAGACAUACCUAUAAGCAGAUGCUAUUUUUCCACCGUCUAGCCUACGUAUAAGGCUUCCUUCAGACACUAUAAUAAAUGCUUCUCUGGAGGUGGAGAUGCAGGCCUCAUGGUCUGAGAUGGUAGGAAUUCCCUUCACGAUAAAGGACUUCACUCCAGGGAAUUCCCCGUAAUUUGACAAUCCCUCCCAGGCUGCCACGCUAAAAAUAUUCCUGAGAUAGUUUCAACGACGCAGAAUUGGAGAGGCGUGAUUGGGCCACCAAGUCUGGCGAGGUGCUUCUGUGCUGCGAGUGCCAGACAGGAGAGCCUAAGCCUCCACUCCC